rnacentral:rRNA from 1 species
GACGAACGCUGGCGGCGUGCUUAACACAUGCAAGUCGAACGGAAAGGCCCUGCUUGCAGGGUACUCGAGUGGCGAACGGGUGAGUGACACGUGGGUGAUCUGCCCUGCACUUCGGGAUAAGCCUGGGAAACUGGGUCUAAUACCGGAUAGGAGCCAUUUUUAGUGUGAUGGUUGGAAAGUUUUUUCGGUGUAGGAUGAGCUCGCGGCCUAUCAGCUUGUUGGUGGGGUAAUGGCCUACCAAGGCGGCGACGGGUAGCCGGCCUGAGAGGGUGGACGGCCACAUUGGGACUGAGAUACGGCCCAGACUCCUACGGGAGGCAGCAGUGGGGAAUAUUGCACAAUGGGCGCAAGCCUGAUGCAGCGACGCCGCGUGGGGGAUGGCGGCCUUCGGGUUGUAAACUCCUUUCGCUAGGGACGAAGCUUUUUGUGACGGUACCUAGAUAAGAAGCACCGGCUAACUACGUG